rnacentral:tRNA from 1 species
GUGCCCAUAGUUUAGCGGCAAAACUCCGCUCUGUGGCAGCGGCGUCACGGGUUCGACUCCCGUUGGGCACC